CCAUAGGACAGCAGCUUCUUUUUAUUUCACUUUCAACUCAUUGAAGAAAGAGUUUGUCAAGCAAAGCCCUAAAUGAAACACUUAAGCAAUAUUUAACUGAGUUUUUUCUCUAAUUUUCCUACUAUUUUUUUCUGAUUUUGGAGUAGAUGUAAUCUGAUCCUGACAGCUAUUUUGAGAGAGAUUCUCAGUGCUCUUUAAUCAAGAGCAAGAAAAUAGAAAAGUGUCAGAGAAACACAUGAAGAUUAGGAGAAACUGGACGGAGCUAUAAAUGCUAUUCCACUUCAAGAAUUGCCAUGGACUGUAAAGCAGCUGAUGAACAUUUUCGAAAUACACCAAGCAUGAGGCUAUCCAUAAGAAACCCAUCAAACAGUGGCGCUGGCAGCUGCUGGAGGUGCAGAAGACAAAGGCUGUGCAGUCUAUGCCCUCGGGAGCCCAAACCAAACAUCUGACCUGAGUUUCUCAGGACCAGGGGGAAGCAGAGCCAUGAGAUUGAAAAAGAGGGGCAAUUCUUCUACAUGCUCUCAUCUGUGUGAGUAUGGCUAAAUUUCUGUUCAUGUAC
rnacentral:lncRNA from 1 species